GUAAACCGCUGUGGAGAGGGAAGAUAAUGACGGUACCUCUCUAGAAAGCACCUGCUAACUACGUGCCAGAAGCCUCGGUGAUACGUAGGGUGCAAGCGUUAUCCGGAUUUAUUGGGCGUAAAGAGUAUCGUAGGCGGUACAGUAAGUGAUUGGUGAAAUCCUCUGGCUCAACCAGAGAAUUGUUAGUCAUACUACUGAACUAGAGUAAUUUCGGGAAGGCUGGAAUUCUCGGUGUAGGGGUGAAAUCCGUUGAUAUCGAGAAGAACACCAAGGGCGAAGGCAGGCCUUUAGGAAUUUACUGACGCUGAUGAACGAAAGCUUGGGGAGCAAAAGGGAUUAGAGACCCCUGUAGUCCAAGCCGUAAACGAUCUUUGCUAGUUGCUCGAGUUUACUUGAGUGGCGUAAGCUAACGCGUUAAGCAAGGCGCCUGGGGAGUACGAUCGCAAGAUUAAAACUCAAAGGAAUUGACGGGGGAGCGCACAACCGGUGGAGCAUGUGGUUUAAUUCGAUACAAAGCGAAAGACCUUACCUAGGUUUGACAUGUACCUGCACGCUCUGUGAAAGCAGAGUUUCUUCGAGAGUGGUACACAGGUGAUGCAUGGCUGUCGUCAGCUCGUGUCGUGAGACGUCCACUUAAGUGUGGUAACGAGCGCAACCCUUAUUCCGUGUUAUAAGUAUCAUGGGAGACUGCCCCCGCUUAGCGGGGGAGGAAGGAGAGGAUGACGUCAAGUCAGCACGUCCCUUACACCCAGGGCAACACACAUCCUACAAUGGAGCCGACAACGGGUAGCGACGGGGUAACCCUGAGCCAAUCCUUAUAAACGGCUCCUCAGUUCGGAUUGAGGGCUGCAAUUCGCCCUCAUGAAGCCGGAAUCGGUAGUAAUCGCAAAUCAGCAGGUUGCGGUGAAUACGUUCUCGCUCCUUGUACACACUGCCCGUCAAGCCAGCAAAGUCAGCAACGCCCGAAGCGGGUGACCAUAACUAGUUUACUAGAGUGGCCCUUCUACGGUGAGGUUGGCGAUGAGGACUAAGUCGUAACAAGGUAUCCGUACUGGAAGGUGCGGAUG
rnacentral:rRNA from 1 species